AGUUUGUUGCUGAUGUUUUAAUCA
rnacentral:piRNA from 1 species